CUUUCUUUGGAGAAGACUGAAGUUAAAGAAACAUUGUUUUGCAUGUGUAUACGUACUAAUUCUACUAUUUUAAAAUCAUUGGUCACUCCUGGAAUGUCACGCUUUAUAGAAUACCCAGUAUAUAACCCAGUUAGAGUAAAAUGUGCAUUCUGACACACAAACUCCAUACAUUUAAGAUCACAGGUCACAGAAUUGGCCUCUAUUGGAUUUAGAAAAGAGG